rnacentral:rRNA from 1 species
ACAGCAGUCGCCGCGGGAAUACAGAGGGUGCGAGCGUUAAUCGGAUUUACUGGGCGUAAAGCGUGCGUAGGCGGCUUCUUAAGUCGGAUGUGAAAUCCCUGAGCUUAACUUAGGAAUUGCAUUCGAUACUGGGAAGCUAGAGUAUGGGAGAGGAUGGUAGAAUUCCAGGUGUAGCGGUGAAAUGCGUAGAGAUCUGGAGGAAUACCGAUGGCGAAGGCAGCCAUCUGGCCUAAUACUGACGCUGAGGUACGAAAGCAUGGGGAGCAAACAGGAUUAGAGACCCCGGUAGUCCCUGUCUCUUAUAC